GUAUUUCCUCUUCCUCUUGAUCUUCUUGUGUUUACUGGCAGCUGUUAAACACAUUGACAUCAACAACUGUGCUGGAGUUUGGAGCAGCGAUAUGAAAAUAAUUUAUGUGUAAAUGUGCACAACUAAACUGUUGCAAGUGUUUCACGUUGGCUUUAAUAAGAAAAAGGAAGGAAGUGAGAUCAGCAGCUUUUUAUAGCUAUCAACUUAUUAAUCUUAAACAUCACUGCUGCAACUUAAAGUCAGACAACUCCACACCAGUAUAUACUUGAAAUGAUGAACUCCAGACUCUCAUCUCUGAUCCUGCUGUUACACAUUCAAGUGUCUCUAACAUUGAACAGCUUUACUGUGAUCUGUGGUGAACAGAAUAUUUGUGCUGUGAGAGGGGCACAGUUGAAAGUGAAGUGCUUUUACUCAAACAUCAACAUCAAAACUGGGUUCUGGUUCAGCCCGAAACAGAGAACAAACUGGAGAAACAAAGAUGAACCUGAAGAUUUGACUUUAGAUUCAGAUUACUCAGGACGAGUGAAUCAGGAGAUUACAAACCGCAAAUCAGAGCUCUUAAUAGAUGAUGUGAGAGAGAGAGACAGUGGAGAAUAUCAGCUCAUGAUCAUUAUGAAGGAUGGAGUUAAACAUCUCAGCUCAGUCACAGUCAAUCUA